GUUGUAUGGUUAAGUGACUAAGCGUACACGGUGGAUGCCUGGGCAGUCAGAGGCGAUGAAGGACGUACUAACUUGCGAUAAGCGCAGAUAAGGCAGUAAGAGCCGUUUGAGUCUGCGAUUUCCGAAUGGGGAAACCCAACUGCAUAAGCAGUUACUGUUAACUGAAUACAUAGGUUAACAGAGCAAACCGGGGGAACUGAAACAUCUAAGUACCCCGAGGAGAAGAAAUCAACCGAGAUUCCGGUAGUAGCGGCGAGCGAACCUGGAUUAGCCCUUAAGCACUCGGUGAAGUAGGUGAACAAGCUGGAAAGCUUGGCGAUACAGGGUGAUAGCCCCGUAACCGACGCUUCAUCGAGCGUGAAAUCGAGUAGGGCGGGACACGUGAUAUCCUGUCUGAAUAUGGGGGGACCAUCCUCCAAGGCUAAAUACUCCUGACUGACCGAUAGUGAACCAGUACCGUGAGGGAAAGGCGAAAAGAACCCCUGUGAGGGGAGUGAAAUAGAACCUGAAACCGUGUACGUACAAGCAGUAGGAGCACCUUCGUGGUGUGACUGCGUACCUUUUGUAUAAUGGGUCAGCGACUUAUAUUCAGUGGCAAGGUUAACCGUAUAGGGGAGCCGUAGCGAAAGCGAGUCUUAACUGGGCGCUCAGUCUCUGGAUAUAGACCCGAAACCGGGUGAUCUAGCCAUGGGCAGGUUGAAGGUUGAGUAACAUCAACUGGAGGACCGAACCGACUAAUGUUGAAAAAUUAGCGGAUGACUUGUGGCUAGGGGUGAAAGGCCAAUCAAACUCGGAGAUAGCUGGUUCUCCCCGAAAGCUAUUUAGGUAGCGCCUCGGACGAAUACUACUGGGGGUAGAGCACUGUUAAGGCUAGGGGGUCAUCCCGACUUACCAACCCUUUGCAAACUCCGAAUACCAGUAAGUACUAUCCGGGAGACACACGGCGGGUGCUAACGUCCGUCGUGGAGAGGGAAACAACCCAGACCGCCAGCUAAGGUCCCAAAGUAUUGCUAAGUGGGAAACGAUGUGGGAAGGCUCAGACAGCUAGGAUGUUGGCUUAGAAGCAGCCAUCAUUUAAAGAAAGCGUAAUAGCUCACUAGUCGAGUCGGCCUGCGCGGAAGAUGUAACGGGGCUAAGCAAUACACCGAAGCUGCGGCAAUAUCUUUUAGAUAUUGGGUAGGGGAGCGUUCUGUAAGCCGUUGAAGGUGAAUCGUAAGGUUUGCUGGAGGUAUCAGAAGUGCGAAUGCUGACAUGAGUAACGACAAAGGGGGUGAAAAACCUCCUCGCCGGAAGACCAAGGGUUCCUGUCCAACGUUAAUCGGGGCAGGGUGAGUCGACCCCUAAGGUGAGGCCGAAAGGCGUAAUCGAUGGGAAACGGGUUAAUAUUCCCGUACUUCUGACUAUUGCGAUGGGGGGACGGAGAAGGCUAGGUGGGCCAGGCGACGGUUGUCCUGGUUCAAGUGCGUAGGCUUGAGAGUUAGGUAAAUCCGGCUCUCUCUAAGGCUGAGACACGACGUCGAGCUGCUACGGCAGUGAAGUCAUUGAUGCCAUGCUUCCAGGAAAAGCCUCUAAGCUUCAGAUAGUCAGGAAUCGUACCCCAAACCGACACAGGUGGUCGGGUAGAGAAUACCAAGGCGCUUGAGAGAACUCGGGUGAAGGAACUAGGCAAAAUGGUACCGUAACUUCGGGAGAAGGUACGCUCUUGAUGGUGAAGUCCCUCGCGGAUGGAGCUGACGAGAGUCGCAGAUACCAGGUGGCUGCAACUGUUUAUUAAAAACACAGCACUGUGCAAAAUCGCAAGAUGACGUAUACGGUGUGACGCCUGCCCGGUGCCGGAAGGUUAAUUGAUGGGGUUAGCGCAAGCGAAGCUCUUGAUCGAAGCCCCGGUAAACGGCGGCCGUAACUAUAACGGUCCUAAGGUAGCGAAAUUCCUUGUCGGGUAAGUUCCGACCUGCACGAAUGGCGUAAUGAUGGCCACGCUGUCUCCACCCGAGACUCAGUGAAAUUGAAAUCGCUGUGAAGAUGCAGUGUACCCGCGGCUAGACGGAAAGACCCCGUGAACCUUUACUACAGCUUGGCACUGAACAUUGAACCUACAUGUGUAGGAUAGGUGGGAGGCUUUGAAGACGUGACGCCAGUUGCGUUGGAGCCGUCCUUGAAAUACCACCCUUGUAUGUUUGAUGUUCUAACUUAG
rnacentral:rRNA from 1 species